UAUUAUUUGAUUGAUUAACUGCCUUUAGUAUCGAAAUUUUGUUUCUAAGUUAGUCAAUUUUCAUUUAUUCUCAAUUCUACUAUAAUAUGUUAGAUAAAUUUUAGAAUUAGUCCAUUUUUAAUAUUUAAUUGGUUUACUAAUAAUCAAUCUCUGUGAGACAGUUUAUUGACACGUUCAUUUGGAUUUAGAAUUUUACGAACAGAAAGCUUAUAAAUGGCUUCAAGAAGCAACAACAAUGAACUCCACAUGUUUAAUGAAUAUAAUAUGACCAGUACCUGAUAUUAUGGUACCGGUGUAGACCAAAAUUGGGUUAUUGGUCCAAUUCUGACCUGGUGAUAGACACCAAGAGUUUGUAGGGGUGAUUGGUUCCCGGUCUAAUCCGGUCUAAUGGAACCAAUCACUUUUUUUUUCCACUACUUGAUGCCAUUUUUUCAUGUUAAAUUAAGUGAUAUUCAUGCAAUGAUCCUCAAAUUGGAAAGAUGAAUAAAAAAACGUGCUUCAUUUAAAGUUUAGUUCACAUUUUACUAAUUUUUUUGAAGAAAAAAAGAAAAAAAAGUAUAUAUAAUCAGUCCGAUCCAGUCCGGUUCCCUUUGGAACCGGGAGCCGGACCAUCCGGACAUUGUUUCCACUUUUAGGAACCGGGAACUAGACCAAAUAGGCCGAUCCGGUCCGGUUGGGACGGUUUCGGGUUUGGGCAGUCCGUUUUGUACACCCUAGGAGGCUACAACAUUUCAUUGAUCACCACAAUUCUGUAUGUCUCAUUUUUUUACGAUAAAUUGCAGGAUGAUAUUGAGUACAAGAAUCUCUUAUGUUGUGGUUUCGCUCCUCUCAGGUCUGUUUCUUGCAGCUUAUUCCAUGGUUUUUGGGGUAGAGACGGCGAAAGGUUUCAGAUGGCUCUUUAAAAGGGUUCUCAUAAGUCCUUGAACCGGCAUUUCCCAGCCUUGCAGCAAAUGAAGGACAAAGUUUUGGGUGUGAAUUGGUGGGGACAGUGCUAAUUCUUUUGUUGCUGGGUUCUCUAUGGGCUUUGAGCGGGAGAUUUGUGAGGACGGAAUUGUGCAGAGGAACCGGCGAGCCCAAGCUGUGGUUGGCCUGCAUGGUUGCACCGCUUGGCGUGUGGUAGAGGUGGUUCUAGGCCUGGCUCAAUGGGCGCCGGCUUGGUAUGGCCCGUCACUUGAAAAGGGUUCCUCUGGGCACGUUUCUUGCCAUUGUCUCUGCAGCUUGUGUGAUGGCAGGACUAUCCACGGUGAAGAAGGAAGUCAAACUUAAGCUCUCAGUCGAGGAGGCUCCAUCUUCAAUUCGAAUUGAGAUUUUCUCUCUUCAUCUGAUCUGAGAGUCUUUUAUUGUUCUUAUUUAGUUUUUUUGUUUUUUCUUUGCUCACUUUUGAUACUCUUCUCUGCUCGUUAUGUGUAUCUUCCCCUUCCAUUGUUAGGAAUCAAGUUGCUGCUUCAGAUCCUCCAAACCAAGAGUCUGACAGGAUCAAGGAGGAUUAUGGUGUUUUCAUACUACACUGAAAACGUUUAUACGAAUUUUUUGAGUUUUGGAAACUUUCAUCUCCCAAUUUAAAUCUUGAUCUGGGAGCUCUUAUCUCCCAAUCUACAAUUAGAUGUGGGAGUUCCUUAGAGACGCAUCUAUGUUCAUUCAAUCUCUCCCGAUCUAGAUCUAGAUUUGGGAGCUUGUUCAACAUGUUUUUGGUGUC